rnacentral:tRNA from 1 species
AAAAAUUUAGUUUAAAGAAAACAUUAGCUUGUCAAGCUAAAAUUAUUUAUUAAAAAUAAUUUUUU